CAAUAUUAAAAUGAUUACUUUGUUUACUUUAGGGCCAACCAGGAGUACAAGGAACUUCAGGACCUAGAGGAAAUCCAGGCCCUGUGGGAGGAGCUGGUUCCACAGGACCACCUGGCUAUGGGUUAUCAGGAGAACAGGGACUACUUAAAUACACAUUUGUUGCUCCAAAGAUGAAAGAGGAUUUGAAGUUAUACCAUGACAUGAAUGAAUUGAUUAAAAAUGCAUGUAGAUGAGACCCUGUAUCUAUAGUACAUGUAACUGGAACUGUAGGAAGUAUUCCAAAGUCUGAUUGCAAAGUAUGCAUUACAGGAUUCUAUCAUUGGAGCAACAUCUUAGGAGGAUAAGUGGAAAUGUAUGAAGGAAUCCUUGGGUACAAAUAUCAAUUAUAUGCAGAAGUGGACUCUUAAACUUUAUUAACAGACAUGGUAGUCAUGGUAGUCAAGAAAUUUAUACCAUUACCAACUGGAAUUAACUAUUGUGUUUAUUUUUUCAACCAUAAGUACUUUCAGAAUACAAUACAAUUCAAAUUCAGAUUAUUGUGUCAACAUACAAAAAUGUACAAGUUACAUUUAAAAAAAAUGAAA